UACGGGGGGGGCAAGCGUUGUUCGGAAUUACUGGGCGUAAAGGGCCAGUAGGCGGCCAACUAAGUCACACGUGAAAUCCCCGGGCUUAACCCGGGAACUGCGUGUGAUACUGGAUGGCUUGAAUUCGGGAGAGGGAUGCAGAAUUCCAGGUGUAGCGGUGAAAUGCGUAGAUAUCUGGAGGAAUACCGGUGGCGAAGGCGGCAUCCUGGACCGACAUUGACGCUGAACGGCGAAAGCUAGGGGAGCAAACGGG
rnacentral:rRNA from 1 species